UCUUGGUCAUUUAGAGGAAGUAAAAGUCGUAACAAGGUUUCCGUAGGUGAACCUGCGGAAGGAUCAUUAACAAAGCUUGAAGUUCGCUCAACCGCGUCUUCAACAAAUCCAUCCACACCUUGUGCAAUAUUGACAUCGAGGCAAGUUCUUUCGGGAAUUUGCUGGUCUUGUGGGGGGAAAAACCUAAAGGAUAGGCAGCAAUGCUUAACCUUUAAGCCCCCCAAAAGUAUUUAACCUAUACGUUUUUUGUUUGUCUGAAACUUUUUAUUGAUACAAUAAAAACAACUUUCAACAACGGAUCUCUUGGUUCUCGCAUCGAUGAAGAACGCAGCGAAAUGCGAUACGUAAUGUGAAUUGCAGAAUUCAGUGAAUCAUCGAAUCUUUGAACGCACAUUGCACUCUUUGGUAACCCGAAGAGUAUGCCUGUUUCAGAUAUAAGUCACUAUGAACUCCGAGGGGGUGUUUGCCAACUCAGUUUUCAUGACUUGAACUUUCCAGACUCAUUACGCGUCUGGUGGUUUAAAAUAAAAGCAUGGACGGUCUCCUUGACUCAUCCGCACGCAAAAGUGUAAUACGAGCUGUCAAAGGCUUCAUUCACUUCUUGCUAGGACGUCAGAUGUAUCGAUUUAAUCCAUGGUCGCAGGAAAUCUGGGGACUACGCAAGUAGAACCUAUCCAUAGCGGCAUCUGAAAUCAGGUAGGACUACCCGCUGAACUUAAGCAUAUCAAUAAGCGGAGGA
rnacentral:rRNA from 1 species